AAUAAAUUAGUCCCCUGCUUUCUAGUUCUUCCUAGAGUGAGGAAAAGCUGGGUUGAGAGGGCAAAGUUACUAAUUA
rnacentral:pre_miRNA from 1 species